rnacentral:tmRNA from 1 species
GGGGUAGUAAAGGUUUCGACGGGGAUUUUGAAGCUGGAGAAGCGAGUCGCACGGUAAUGCGUCAAAUGGCCAAAUUAAAAUUAAACGCUAACGACAAUUGAGCAUACGCUGCCUAAUUGCAGCAGUCGGCUCUAGGGCACUCACACCUUAGAAUCCCGGCUUCGACUUUGUGAGAAACGACAUUGUCAAAGCUUUGAGACAGUGGGCGUAUAAUGAAGCUACCAAAAUCACGAGGAUGUUUGUUUUCGCGUGACAGAGGGAAUUUUAAAUAACAAACUACACUCGUAGAAGGACAGGGGAUGGGUCUUCGGACACGGAUUCGACUCCCGUCUACUCCAUAA